GUCCCACUGUAAAAACACAUAAUUCGAUCUAAUUACAUAUUUUACAAUGUGUAAUACGUCGAACGAGUUCCACUUAAUUACCGCUGAGAUCAAGCUAAUUAUGAGAAACGAGCCUGAUCUGCGGUAUUUUACCGCCGUGCAUUCUUUUUUUUUUUUUUUUUAUUCAUCUCUACUCGCACGUCUCACAGUGCAACAAAAAAGACACCAAUUAUCUUCCCUUCCCUCGUUCGAAAUCAGGACUUUCCCCGAUUUCAACCGCACGCCCCGUCCGCGGAUAACUUUGUAUUUUUUUUUUCUUCUCCCAGCGAAAGACCGAAAAUAACGCGAGGAAUUCGCGCUCGCUCGUAUCCGUGCGGAAAGACGUUUAGCUUCGGGUGGACGGUCUCUCGAAAAAAAAACACGUUAAAAAAGCAAAAAUACGGAAAAUUCGACCGAAAAGAAUCCGUCGUUGAUUUUUUUCCUCUCCUUUUUUCCAUUCCUCGCAAUCGUCGUUACGCCGUGAAAAAAAUCGUACGCGUUGAUCAUGUGAUCGAGAUAUCGGGUCAUAAAGAUAUAAAUCCCGUGAUCACCGCCACUCGGUAGAGGUUUAAAGAUUAUUGAGUUGACAAAUAGCCGUCGCGAUUAGCGAUCCGAUAUAACAACAGGAAUAACGGUGUAAUAAUCAACAUCAUCCACGUGAAAAUGCAGUGGACAUCGGGCCGGAUCAAUUAAAACUGAAAUCGGCGUGGCGAGGAAGACUGAAAAAUAUGACUCGUACGAUCGUUGAACGUCAUAGGAAAUUCUUGGCAGCUUCAAGGAUUAGCAAACGUCGAUUAUUGGCAACGACGCAGACGUUCGCGGUGUGGACAUUCUAUAUUUGAAUAUACCGAAGGCGGCGAAGGACAAGGGUGAACAAAAACGAGGAGCGUUGAAACACAAGAUUUUUACACGGCGCGCAAUUCCGAUGGAAGCUACGACGACGAAUCGAAAAAUUGAUAAAACGAUUUUACACGAAUAAAGUGUUUUGCAAAAAUUGGCAUCGACGUUUUAUUCACGGAGUCACAAGGCAAGAAGUGGACAGCCUACGAAGCAAAUCCACCUCAUACAAAUGAAUCGUACAACACAGUUGUCUUUGGAAUACUUUGAAGUUAAUUCGGAUGAAAAAUUUCGUCAAUGAUAUCGUGACUCAUUUACUGUAAGAAUAGAUGCAUCUGCAUAAAUAAAUCCAUCAUAUACAUAAUAAUGUGCUAAAGUUCAUUUCACCUCCAUUGAAUUAUCCAUAAUCAAAAAUCAUCGUCAAAAUCCAAAAAUCAAGCCUAAAACAAAUCCCGAAGGAAUCAAUCGAGACUUUUUUUUUUAUCAAUCAUUUAUUACAAAAAAAAUCUGAUCCAAAAAUCCAAUUUCUACAAACCGCGAGCUGGCGCCAUCCCUCGGAAUUUCGGUGAACUUAGAAGGGGUGCGCUUAAGGGUGGUCGGUAUUCUAUAUACCUAGGAGCCGCUAAGGGAUGAAAUAGCGGUAAAAAUAAAUCAGUCUAAUUCAAAUGAAGAUUAACGUUCAUUCCUUGGGUGCAAAAAUUUCAAAAAUCUGUCGAUUGCAACCCCUAAUUUUUUCAAAGUACUAAGCUACUUGCUGCAUAGUGUAACUAUUCAU